UCAUUUAAAAAUAUGUGUUGAUUGCCU
rnacentral:piRNA from 1 species